UACAGAGGUCUCAAGCGUUGUUCGGAUUCAUUGGGCGUAAAGGGUGCGUAGGCGGCCUGCUAAGUCGGACGUGAAAUCCCCCGGCUCAACCGGGGAACUGCGUCCGAUACUGGUGGGCUCGAAUCCGGGAGAGGGAUGUGGAAUUCCAGGUGUAGCGGUGAAAUGCGUAGAUAUCUGGAGGAACACCGGUGGCGAAGGCGGCAUCCUGGACCGAGAUUGACGCUGAGCGCGAAAGCUAGGGUAGCAAACGGG
rnacentral:rRNA from 1 species